CUGGGCUGGGGAGUUGCGGGCUCCUGGAGUCGGGCUGGGGGCGGGAGGCUGGUCCUUGGCUGAGCCCUGCCCCGCCCGGGGUGCGGCUGCAGGGCAGGAGGAGGAAGCCGCAGCGGUUCCGGGCACAGAUCGCGCCGCCCGGAGCCUGCAGCGGCCGCCGGCAGGAGCGGCCGGACCGGAGGGGCGGAGCUGGGAAGAUCUGCGGCCGCCCAGAGAAGUGAGCUGGAGCCGAGCCCGUUGGCCUGGGUCAGGGUGCCCCGUGGAUGGGUGUGGUACAGAUUUGCUGCUAGCGCAGACUUAGCUCCCUCUGCCGUAGUUUGCCAGGUGGCUGGAGGCACCGCAGCAAGAGAGGACCUGUGAGAGCUCGUCUUGCCACGGGGGAACAUGCAGCGUGGUGCCAUGACUGUUGAGAACCCCUACGCCAGCGUGAAUAUUCCUCGAGAUCAGCUCGAGAACAGCUUCAUUAAGCGCUACCUGGGAGAGGAGCUGCCCUCGCCCACUGUCAUUGUUAAUCCUGGCGCCAUGCCCACCUACCCAGCCCCAGAGCAGCUGAACGGUGCCAGUAAAUCGGUGCCACUGGAUAGUUGGGAUGGUUCAAAAGUCCUGACGCAGGAGUCCUGGGCCCAGCCGCAUAACCCGUAUGCCAGCCUGAAGCUGCUGAACGGCGCUUCCUCGGCCCCGCUGUACACCAUUGAGCUAGACAAGCACCAGAAGAGUCCUGAGGUGGGCACGGACUGUGGCUGCUGCUGCUGCUGUAAGUACUGGCCCUGCUGCCGGAAAUGCUGCUGUGUUGUUUCCUAACCCCACGAGCCCUGACCUCUUGCCACACCCGGACCGGCACCGGGCUGGCCCUGCUGAGACAUCGGCCUGAGCCGGCCUCCUUAAGGAGCUGGGAUCCUGCAGCAAGGGGGCUGGGAUGGACAGCCCCAGCUAUGGUGCCCAUCCUGGCAGGAACUGUGGGACGCCUCGGGGGGCAACUGGAGCCUACAGCAGCCUUGCAGUUUCCUGAUACUUUCCGUGAUCUUUGGCUCUCUCAGGGAUGCUGGGCAUGGGGAGGGGGGGUGACUAUUUUUGCCCCGGUUGUAGGGUGGCUUUCUAGACCUUGUUUAUCCUAUGGAAAGUGAGCUCAGGUGCCAUGGUGAUGGGCAUGUAGCAGUGAUGUGCUGCCAGGAUCGUGGCCAGGCCUCGGAGGAGUUGCAAGACAUGCUGAUGAAGCCUGGAGUGCCUCGUGCAGUGCCCAGUGGUGGAAACACGACUGCUUGCUCCCACUUACUGUCUGGCUGGGGAACAGCCCUGAUGCAACAGGCCGUGCAGCUGUGCUGACCCGCAUGCAGACAAAGACAUCACCCAUUGGAGAAGCAAGAACCUGAGCUUGGGGGGGCCUGAGCGGUGUUUUAUGGGUGCUUGUGGAUUCUCACUGCCCCUCCCCGUGGCUGGGGCAUGCUGGUACAGUCUUGCCUAGCUGCGGAGGCUGCGUGCCUCUUGAUUCUGUGGCGAAAUAGCCUUGCAAACCAAGGCCUUGUCACAACAGUCAUGGUUAAUGUGGUACAAUUCUCUAGUGUGGCUGCAGUUAGACUGGCGGAAAGGUGCUCAUGCUGGUCUAACAUUCCAGUAGGGGAAGGGAAUGAGCUCUACUGGUACGAAGCACCUGGGUCCUGCUCUAUCUGUGUCCACACUAGGACUUGGGCUGGUAAAACUGGGUAGGUAAUGCUCACGCCCCUGACCCACACGAUUGAGAGGUACAAACUCUGUUUGCUAAGCGGGCUGGAAUGAGGAUCCUGCCAGUCCCUGCCUGCUCAGUCACCCGACAAAAGAAGGAAACACACCCCGGAAAAACAGACAAACGAAACAGCUUGGAGAAUGUGCUGGGCUCUGCUCUGGGGAUGUGCCAUGGCUGGACACAUUGGUCUCUGGGUCUGAACUCACAGUGUUAGGAGACUCUUCUGACACCUCACCCACUCUGUGCUGGGGCAUGGCUGUCAGGAGCUGCUUUCCAGGGCUUGGGUGCAGCGCAGGCAGGGGAUGGGCACUUGUACCCCCAGCUUGGUCUGGAGAGGGGGCAGCAGGCCAGCCCUGCUCUACGUGGCACUAACACCGGCUUUUGGUGUUAGUGCCAGUGCUGCUGUGAGACUAGUGCAGGCUGCAGAGGAGGGUUCAGAAUGAAACAGGGAGGGGAGGGAGUGGGACAAGGGGUGUCGAGUCCUCUCUGUCCCAGUCAGCUGUGCAGGACCUGCCAGACUCCAAGGCGCUGGGGUUGUCAGAUAGCCAGGAAUAGGGUGUAAUGAAGUCAUUGGGUCUGCUCCCUUGGGGGUGUUUCUGAAGCAGAAGCCCCAGCCCUGAUGUGGGGGGCAAGGCCAUGGGGAGUAGCGGUGCUGUCCUCUGCACGGGCAGAGGGGCGCCAGCUGGUUGGGUAAUGAGCAAGGGGAAUGAGGCAGCACCGCUCUGCCCUUUACACUGGGCGCCCCUUCCCAUGCUUUGCAGCUGGUUGAUUGCAGCUUGUCAGCGUCACCCCAGACUUGGCUUUCCUGCUAGAUGUCAUGUGUGCUCUGUACAGGGCCAAGUGGUUUGCAUGUGAAACCUGAACCAGACCCACUGUUGUCCUUCAUAAACAGCCCCAUGCAGCACUGGUCCUAGUGGCUGCAGCUGCCGGCUCCGACCUGCCUCACAGGUGAGUUUCUCUACUAGACAAGGGAUGUUUCUCUUGCAGCAGCUGCACUGUGUAAGUGCUGGCACAGCCGGGGUCCAGGGGGUUUGGGGCACAGUGGUAAAACUCCCUGAGCCCUGUGCUAGCGCUUACCCCAUUGCUAGACCUGCAGCAUCACAGGCCACUGUGGGGCAAGCGCCCUGACUGAGUAGUGCUGCAGGAGCAGGAGGGACCAUGCCCAGGGUCCUAGGUGCAGAAUCUCAGUUUUCCCGGCUAGGAAGAUUCUAACCGUUGUGUAGGCUGGGUAGAAUUCAGCUUUUAUUUGUUUGUGAUCUCUACAGAUAGUAUCAAUGCUUAUUUGUAAGAAUAUUUUUAGUUUUAUUGAUUUAAAUUUUCACAGUAGGGGAGGUUAUUGGAGGGCCAGAAAAUGGAAGGUCAGACAAUUAUUUAAUGACAGUAGACGAUGAGAUUCAAAAAGUUAAAGGUUUAUAACCAUUAAAACACAAAUUGUUGAAGUGUACAAAGUAAGUAGGCAAUGUAAGAGAAAUGCUGCUUUGAUAUAAGGCGAUCUGUAAAUUACCAAUGGAAAUAUGUUUUCGUCAUUUGGGUGUGUAUAGUGAAAUCGAUGGUCAUGGAUAUCUACCGAUAAAAGUCGAAUCCUUCCAACCCUGUUCUGAGAGGUGUGAACACCCCGGCCCACCCUCUUGAUGUGUGUUGACUCAAACCUAAUGAUGUCAGCAUUUAACUAUUUCACUGCUGAUCACUGUAGCAGAAACACCCAGCUAAUUUUUGCUCACCCUAACCCUAGCUGCCUCCCAGAUAUCCCCAUAUACUGAAAGCUCCCACUGUCUCCUGCCCAGCUGCCAGAACUUCCCCAGGAGUGUUUCCAGCCCAGAACUCUGCAGCAGGGGACAGUGGAAUGGAAUGUCCCUGGGAUGCUGGGGGCUGGGGUUCCAUGCCGUGGGACCAAGGAGCCAUGCUGCAGAGCUCCAGCUCGUGGCCUUCACCCAAGUGCAUUGAGCUAGGAUUGCCCGCAAGGAGUGACCCAGGAGCCCUUCUGUGCCUCUUGUCCCUCAGCUGCGUCGCUCCCCCCUCCACAUAAUCUAGAGCAAUAGGCCAGCUGUACUCCAACUAGUGCCUCUGAAGAUCAGAUUGUCCCUUGCCAGGUGAGUGUGAACGCUCCAUCCACCAUCACUGGUCCCUGGAUCAUAAGCAGCAGUGUAAAGAGCGUUGCAUGAGGCGUCCAGCCCCCAUCUGUGCAGGAAGCUGCAGCACAUGCCUUCCAUAGACUCCCAGGGUGAGGCCUGUGGUUUGCCUGCCGGGGUGCCAUACAGCCGCGUAGCCAGGACUGGAUGCUGCUGCUGCCAGCUCUGUAUGGUUUCAAUGGGCAUUGUGUGCUAAUGGCUACAGGACUGCCCUUGCUGGGACAUGGCUGCACAGGUCCUGUUUGUAGCAUGGCUGUGGGAGGACCCAGUUCCCAGCAGGGCUCACCCUGGACCCAGUUAAAGCUCAGAUCUGGUUUGAUUGCACCUGAAGUGUGCUAAAGCAUUGGGCUGUCCACGGUACUGCUGCUCCACAGAGCGCCUGUGCUGGGAAUGGGGCUCUGCCAGUGCUCUCAGACCCAGAUUAUCCCAGCCUGUGUGGAGCAAGUGAUUCAGGAUUUCACUGUAGUUGGCUCAGGUGGCUGCUGAACAAUGCCUGGACCCUGCUGUGAAAUCUGGCAGUUCCUGGUGUCCCUGUCACUAUUGCUGUGAAUAAAGUAAUUUGACCAGUGUC